rnacentral:rRNA from 1 species
CCUACGGGUGGCAGCAGUGGGGAAUAUUGCACAAUGGGGGAAACUCUGAUGCAGCGACGCCGCGUGAGUGAAGAAGUACCUCGGUAUGUAAAGCUCCAUUAGCAGGGAAGAAAACUACGGCACGUGAUGCAGAAGCCCCGUCUAACUACGUGCAAGCAGCGGCGGUAAUACGCAAGGGGCCAGCGUUAUCCGGAUUUACCGGGUGUAAAGGGAGCGUAGGCGGCAGCCCAAGUCUGGAGUGAAAUGCCGGGGCUUAACCCCGGCACUGCAUUGGAAACUGGGCAGCUAGAGUGCAGGAGAGGUAAGUGGAAUUCCUAGUGUAGCGGUGAAAUGCUUAGAUAUUAGGAAGAACACCAGUGGCGAAGGCAGCUUACUGGACUGUAACUGACGUUGAGGCUCGAAAGCGUGGGGAGCAAACAGGAUUAGAUACCCCAGUAGUC